rnacentral:lncRNA from 1 species
CGUGCCACUCGCGUAGACUGCGAACGACUGAUGUCACGAGUGCGCCCGCGCUCGCCUUUCGAUGUGUUCCUAUAUCUAAUUGGUUUGACGUUUAACGUUCCACGUUUUCGCACGUACCCACCCACCAAGGUGUUCCUGUGACUCCUGGCUGGCCGCUAAUCGCGUUACAACGGACCUCUUGCGCGAUUGAACUAAGAUCAUUAGCGAAAUUUCACGAGCGAUCAGUUACAAAGGGGCAAUGACAAGUUUGGUAAGGAAUUGAGUCGAGCUUUACACACGGCUGAAUUUCCGUAAUUGCGAGUAGCAGUGGAACGCGUGAUAGCUACGUUUCUGUUGAUUUUUUGUUUCUCCGCGUCGUUUUAUAUCCCGAGAACAAUAUUUUUCAUAUAAAAUGGGUAAAAGCGGGAAGAAUCUGUUUGCUCUAGCCAAAGGUAUAAUUGUUCGAGCAAACGAUAUUUCAAUGUCUUCGAUGUGUUAACGCUAUGACAAACGAUAUUUCAACCGCCUAGAAGCCGAAGCGGUGAAGCAGAUUUUUUCUCGAUUUUCCGGUUUCAUCGCACGGAUAACGUGAUUUAACGCUGAAUUUUGAAGAGACAGACGAUUCGCUUCCACAAGUCCAGUUACCGCGAGAAAGUGACACGAGUAACGGUAGAUUGGAAAAACGAUUUAAAGUAAUGUCCAUAGCAUCGUUAUUCUCUAUUUUUCAAUUUAUGCAGUCGAUCGGUGUGGCUUCUGAAUUGCUCGUUUCUUAAAUUACGAAGGCACGUUCAAGCACAGAGCCGAUUAAAAGGACAAUUUUGGAAUUGGUCGAUCGGAUGUAUUGAAUUCUGAAAUUGUUCUGGCGUGAAAAGCGAGAAACGUGACUUAUCACGUUCUUUCGCUUUUAAUCUUCGCUUACGAGCUAUCCACCAAUUGUACUACUCGAUAUGAAAUUAUAAAAAUGCAAAGCUUUCUUUGUACGACUAUUAUGCCUAUGUACAAUCUGCAACUUGUCAAUCGUCGAUUCGCUAAAAUUGUUACUUAGAAAAUUGUUGUGCAGGGGGGCCUGGCUGGUUCUACGUUCCAAUGGUUCAAGUAUAGUUACGCGUUAUACCUUGCCGAUUAGGUGAACGCCUCUUAUGCAAUUUUGGGAAAUCGUGAGAUCGAAAUAUCACGUAUAUAAUACUUUGUUUCUUUUCUUUUUUUAAUUAAUUUUAUUCGUUCGACGGUAAUUUAUAACGCCUUUCUAAGUUCAAUCCAUUCUUCUUCCUCAUUUUCUUCCCCUUUCUAUGUUCGACUAUUUGUAACAAUUUGCUUGUUGUUCUAAUAAAUUUGAUUUCAAUCCUG